GAUGAACGCUGGCGGCGUGCUUAACACAUGCAAGUCGAACGGAAAGGCCCAAGCUUGCUUGGGUACUCGAGUGGCGAACGGGUGAGUAACACGUGGGUGAUCUGCCCUGCACUUCGGGAUAAGCCUGGGAAACUGGGUCUAAUACCGGAUAGGACCACUUCUUGGAUGUUGUGGUGGAAAGGUUUUUCGGUGUGGGAUGAGCUCGCGGCCUAUCAGCUUGUUGGUGGGGUAAUGGCCUACCAAGGCGUCGACGGGUAGCCGGCCUGAGAGGGUGUACGGCCACAUUGGGGCUGGGAUACGGCCCAGACUCCUACGGGAGGCAGCAGUGGGGAAUAUUGCACAAUGGGCGCGAGCCUGAUGCAGCGACGGCGCGUGGGGGAUGACGGCCUUCGGGUUGUAAACUCCUUUCGCUAGGGACGAAGCGUUUUGUGACGGUACCUGGAGAAGAAGCACCGGCUAACUACGUG
rnacentral:rRNA from 1 species